CCGGCGAGUGAAGAGGGAAAAGCCCAAAUUUGUAAUCUGGCUCUUUUAUAAGGGUCCGAGUUGUAAUUUUGAGAACUGUUUUCCGUGCUGGACCAUGUACAAGUCUGUUGGAAAACAGCAUCAUUGAGGGUGAUAAUCCCGUACAUGAUAUGGACUACCAGUGCAAUAUGAUACAGUCUCUAAGAGUCGAGUUGUUUGGGAAUGCAGCUCAAAGUGGGUGGUAAAUUCCAUCUAAGGCUAAAUAUAGGUGAGAGACCGAUAGCAAACAAGUACCGUGAGGGAAAGAUGAAAAGAACUUUGGAAAGAGAGUUAACAGUACGUGAAAUUGUUAAAAGGGAAACAUUUGAAGUUAGACUUGUUAUUGUUGGCUCAGCUUCUUUUUUAAUUAGGAGUCUAUUCCAAUGGUUAACAGACCAGCAUCAAUUUUUGAGUGUUAGAUAAGGGUCUUGAGAAUGUGGCAACUUUGGUUGUGUUAUAGCUCUUGGCUUGAUAUAAUGCUUAGGAUUGAGGAACGCAGUGAGCUUUUUAUUAAGUGGAUUCAAAUUUUGGAUCUUCAUCACUACGGAUGUUGGUGUAAUAGCAA
rnacentral:rRNA from 1 species